ensembl:lncRNA
AGAACGUGUAAAAAUUUUAAAUGAUGUGGUGGUUUGAUUCAAACAAAACAAAACCAAACAAAACAAAAAACCAAGCUCCAAGUUUUUUGCAAAUUUAGGUCUUAAUAUUGAAGGCCUGUGUUCCUUCCACUGUGGCAUUGUACGAAGAAAUGUGCGGGUUUUUUUUUUUUUUUAAUUUGCUUUUUGUGUUUCUUUUUUUUUAGAAAAGAUUCCGAAAAAUGAGGGAAACAGGAAGCCCAGAGGUGCCCCUGUAGUUUGGCGAAGGCCUUAGGAGGUCACUUGGAAAUGCCGCUGGCUGAAAUGUUGGUCUUCAGCGAUGUUCAAAGCCUGUGUAUUUCCGCUAGACUCUGGCUUCAGGUCGGUUCCCCCAAAAGGCUCCGAAGCGACCUGAACCAAACAGUCAACCUAGAAGAGAUCACGGAAGAGGGAGGUCCUUUCAAGGCGUGAAUGUUUCAGAACUUUAAUUUAUUUGGAAAUGACCCAGCUCUUCAGUACACUGUCGUCACUUAGUUUAGCACAGGAUAGAAACUCGGGUAACCAAAACACCUGGAGAAACGAUUGUAUGUUCAGUUCAGUUCAGUGGCUCAGUCGUGUCUGACUCUUUGGGACCCCGUGGCCUGCAGGACGCUGGGCUUCCGUGUCCAUCACCAACUCCAGGGGCUUGCUCAAACUCAUGUCCAUCGAAUCAGUGAUGCCAUCCAACCAUCUUAGCCUCUGUCGACCCCUUCUCCUCUGCCUUCAAUCAAGACUCUCAUAGGCAGAUAUUUUCGAGUGUAAUUAGUGUUCAUAGUUUAUCUAAAAGCUCAUAUCACAUUUAAAUUUUCAUUUUGUUCCUGUUUUUUCGAGGUCUUUCUCGGAUUGAGGCAGGAAACCCUGGCUUCCCUGGACUUGUGCAGGGUGGAGUUCGGAGAGGUGUCCGGGCAUCGGGUUCUUAUCAAGAGGGGACCGGGAAAUCGGGGUCCUUCGGAAUGUGGAACCACCCACGAGGCCACGUCUGGAAUGUCGUCGUGAGACCGGCCUCAUCCUGAGGUGCGACCGGAAGGUCGGGAACCCCUUCCAGACAAAGCAGCGGAGUCGACCCUCCUGUCGAGAUCAGGAGGGUAGAAGGGGCUCAGAGGAAGUGGUUCGGGAAAACCUCGGUGUUCCUCUUGAGGGAGACCGGGAUGUCGGGGCACUUUGUGGGUCGCAUCAAGGGUGCCAAGUACCGUUUCGACCUCCAAUACCUAACGUGGGACUUCUCCUGAGACACUGUAGCGGGAAAGGGCUUCAUCUUGC